rnacentral:misc_RNA from 1 species
AAGUCGUAACAAGGUCUCCGUAGGUGAACCUGCGGAGGGAUCAUUACAGAGUUCAUGCCCUUCGGGGGUAGACCUCCCACCCUGUGUAUUUAUACCUUUGUUGCUUUGGCGGGCCGCUGGGCUUCCGCCCGGCUCCUGGCUCCGGCUAGGGAGCGCCCGCCAGAGGACCCCAAAACCUGAAUGUUAGUGUCGUCUGAGUACUAUAUAAUAGUUAAAA